UACGAAGGGGGCUAGCGUUGUUCGGAAUUACUGGGCGUAAAGCGCACGUAGGCGGGUGGUUAAGUCAGGGGUGAAAUCCCGGAGCUCAACUCCGGAACUGCCUUUGAUACUGGCCAUCUAGAGAUCGGAAGAGGUGAGUGGAAUUCCCAGUGUAGAGGUGAAAUUCGUAGAUAUUGGGAAGAACACCAGUGGCGAAGGCGGCUCACUGGUCCGAUACUGACGCUGAGGUGCGAAAGCGUGGGGAGCAAACAGG
rnacentral:rRNA from 1 species